AGGUUAAUUAUUUUUGUAAUUCCCCACAUUCUACCCUGUCUUUCAGUUAAGACUCAUAUCACACAAACUAAUAAAUUUGAAACUAUGAUAACAGAACAACUAUAUCCUGAUAUCAGAUGAUGAAAAGUCUGUGAGUUUUAGCCACGACAUGGGUGAUUGCCUGAGAUGAUUUUAUUAACUUCGUUCACUGUUAAACUUUUAGACCACACAUUUAACUUCGUUUUUGACCUUUUGAAGUUAGAAAUUAUCCAUGAAGGGAAAUACGUUUCAGAGGACCUGAUAAAGAAGCCACUGUUGGUGUUAAGCUUAUACUGUUACAUUAUUUAUUGGGCUGUUUAACUACUCAUAAACUAAAGCCUUCACCUGUAAUAUACAUAAAACUUUGACAAUGUGAAAAAUGCCAGGCUCCUCUGCUGUCAUUCUCAUGGUUACCCUAACCAUGGAUGUAAUAUAAUCUACCCAAUGAGUACUCCUAACUUAAAACACAAUUUCUACAAUCUUGCUUGGGUAGGAAUACGCCGAUGGGUACCAAUACUUCAGAGGAAGAUACUACAUCCAUCUUCGGGGCUGUCAAUGGUAGUCUUGUGGAUUGUGGUGCCAUAUAAACUUGUAGGCAAGUACCAACAAUUCGGCAGAACAUAGUACUCCCAUUUUUAUGGUUCAAGAUGGAGGCACUGUGUUCUUCUGAAACAUUGGUACCACCCACAGUAAAGAGAGUCACAACUCAGAAAACCACUGUCUGUUUGUUUUACUUCUAAUAAAACAGCUGUGUUACUGACAACAAACUUAAUAAAUAAAUAAAAUUCAGAUUUAUUA